rnacentral:rRNA from 1 species
ACGCUCGACACCUACGGGAGGCAGCAGGUGGGGAAUAUUGCACAAUGGGGGAAACCCUGAUGCAGCGACGCCGCGUGAGCGAAGAAGUAUUUCGGUAUGUAAAGCUCUAUCAGCAGGGAANAAACUGACGGUACCUGACUAAGAAGCACCGGCUAAAUACGUGCCAGUAGCCGCGGUAAUCUGAGCGGGCUGGCAAGGC